rnacentral:rRNA from 1 species
AGCAGCCGCCGCGGUAAUACGAAGGGUGCAAGCGUUAAUCGGAAUUACUGGGCGUAAAGCGUGCGCAGGCAGUUAUAUAAGACAGAUGUGAAAUACCCGGGCUCAACCUGGGAACUGCAUUUGAGACUGUAUGGCUAGAGUGUGUCAGAGGGGGGUGGAAUUCCACGUGUAGCAGUGAAAUGCGUAGAUAUGUGGAGGAAUACCGAUGGCGAAGGCAGCCCCCUGGGAUAACACUGACGCUCAUGCACGAAAGCGUGGGGAGCAAACAGGAUUAGAUACCCCUGUAGUCCCUGUCUCUUAUAC